UACGGAGGGGGGCUAGCGUUGUUCGGAAUUACUGGGCGUAAAGCGCACGUAGGCGGCUUUGCAAGUUAGAGGUGAAAGCCCGGGGCUCAACUCCGGAAUUGCCUUUAAAACUGCAUCGCUAGAGUUGUGGAGAGGUAAGUGGAAUUCCGAGUGUAGAGGUGAAAUUCGUAGAUAUUCGGAAGAACACCAGUGGCGAAGGCGACUUACUGGACACAUACUGACGCUGAGGUGCGAAAGCGUGGGGAGCAAACAGG
rnacentral:rRNA from 1 species